AUGCUGCCAUCAGAAAUGCAGAAGGAUGUUCUGUCUGGAGACUGGGAUUCUGCUGUUGACCAGUUGAGCAUUCCAGUAACCAAGGCAACAAAAGCCUCUGUUCUACUUAGAGGAAAUUGGGGAGCUGGCCUAAUACUGUCUGGAAAUUGCCUCUGGCAGACAACAGUCCUCCAGUGCCAGCCAGCCUGGUGGGAGAUGGACACCCCACUAUUCCACAGAAACCACAGAGAGGAAAAUCUUUGGAUAUGGAACACAGUGAGAGGAAGGAUGGGAAGUAGGGAAACCAAGAAUAAACACAGACUUCCCUCUACCAACUCUGCAGAAUUCAGGGAAAAAUAUUAAUAUAAAAGGCUCUCUAACAGUGUCACUGAGUACGGGAGUACCCUUGGCAUCUAGGCACUGUCAAAAAGCUAAAGGAAUUUGUUGGUCUUUGUCUCCAGCUGAGCUCUGAAUAGUUUUUCACCUUUUUAUUUUUUUAAGUUUUUUACAGUUAAACUUGUGCAAACACUGACUAUUAUGUAGUGAACAAGAAAAAAAAUCGAUAAAAUGCUUCUUAGAAUAUUCUUUCCUUUUUUUUCUAUUUUGUUGUUGUUAUUAUUGUUUGUUUUAUUUUGUUUCCCUCUACUAGAAACUAGCCGUAGUGAUCACAUGCAGAUCUGUGUUUGCUUCAGUGUUAUAUUACUGCAACUAAAAUUAGAAUCUGGACUGAAACAUUUGGUAUGUAGUUCUGAACUAGCAAGUAUGCAAUUAGGGUGUAAAAUGUUGAUAUCUGCUGCAUCCAAUAGUUCUGCCCAAGUAAAGCACAUUCCUACCUGAAUUCCCUCCACAAACAUCUUGAAUUAACUGACAUUAUCAUAAUAAAAACAUCUUGGGCUUUAUGUCA
rnacentral:lncRNA from 1 species